UUGAAUAAAAAUGAAUUUAAUAUCUGAAAGAUUUUUCUAAAAAUUCGCAAGGGUAUUUUUUUCUUUGCUUGGGAGAGGUAGGUAGUAAUCUACACAGCCAUAACGUCAUACCUGUGCUCCACUGUAGCCGUUAUGUACAUAACUCUCCAAUAAGUGGCAAAACUAAGAGAGCCCAUAGGUCAUGAGAAUACAGCUUAUGUUUUUAAAUGUUUUAGAAUGAGCUCUUAAAAUUUUCUAAUGGCAUACUUUUUUUGCUCAAAGGUUAGAUUCUAAUUUCCAUGUUACAAAAUAGCAAAAUUAGUUAAGUAUAUUAGUUCUCUUUUGCUGCAUGACAAGUUACUCCAGAACUUAGCAGGUGAAGACAGAAAGUUUCUUUUUCCACACAUUAUCUAAGGAUCAGGGAUUUGGAAACUAUUUAGUUGGGUGAUGUUAGCUCAGGAUUCCCUGUGAGGUUGCAGUCCAGCUACUGGCUGGGUCUUCAAGUCACCUCAAAGUUCUAAUGAGGAUAGAGGAUCUGUUUCCAAACUCACCCAAAUGGUUAUUGGUAGAAUAUCUCAAUUCCAUACUAAUUGUUGGCUCAAGGUCUCAUAUUGUUGCUGUGUUGGCUUCUCUGAAAGCUGUCCAAGUGUCCACAAGUCAUAGCAUUUGGCUUUUCCCAAAGAUGAUGAUUCAAGAGAAAGACCAUGGCAUGGUCCUCACAACCUAAUCUAAGAAGUAACAUACCUUCUCAUCAUGGGACUAUACAAGGAUGUGAAUACUAGAGGCAAAGAUCAUUAGGGGCCACAUUGAUGGAUAAACAUUGGCUGAUAGCCCAGGUUACUAUGCCCUCUAUUGUGAUAUUAGUGGUUUAUACCACUGCUAUUCUGAAAUUUCAUCAUUCAUUCAUUUCAUGAACACCUGUUGAGUGUCAGCUGUGUGCUGAACACCAUUGCAAGCAUUUAUGAUGUAUCAGAAAUGAAACAAAUACCCUGGCCCUCAUGGAUCCUAUGUUCUGCUUUAUAUCCUUUUCUUUGAAUAGCAACAUCCACUGGUCAUUGGAGCCAUGUAAUUAUGGUAAUUACGGUGAAUCCAUGGGCUUCAGACUCUUUUCAGAUUGACUUGUCCUGGACCAGCCUCAGCAGGAACUAAGAGUAGCUAUUUCAUAUGACUGUUAGAAUGGGAAGGCUUUUUAGAAAGUAGCAACAACACAAUUUUCCCAAUGAUGGCAUUCUUCUAUUCUCAUAAAUGAUCAAUUCUCUGUCUUUGAUAGCUAAAGUGAGAAAGUAAAUUACUGCUGUGCUACUUCCGAGUUAAAAUUUGGGAGUCAGACAAACCUGGAUUAGACUGGUAAUGCUCCUGCUGACUUUUAUCUUGUAUGUCCUUAGGCAAGUUGGUUGACUCAUCUGAGUUUAGUUUCUUCAGCUCCAAAAUGGUGACCAUGAUAGCACCUUUCUUGAAGUUGAACAAGGUAUCAUCUGUUGAAUUACAAAACAGGAGCCUGGUUCCUCACUGGUCACUGGCUGCUGCGACACCAGCUAGCAGUGAGAUUGCUGAUUAUGCUUGCUGCGCUGCUGAGUUAGCACCACCCCUCCCGUGGUGACUUCCCUUAUUGACCCUUUUGAUACAGGGUUAUUUCUUUGCCAAAUAUUUAUUCUGUUUAAAAAAAAAGAGUCCAUGUUAUCUUCUAAACAAUAAAGGAACAGUGGUUGACUCAGGGCAGGAAUUUGGGAGGCAUCUUGGAAAAAGAGAGGGGAGGCUGAAAUACUCCACCCAUGGCCCUCCCAGUUCUGGUUUUAGGUUAUCUCAGCAGAAAGAAUUGAAACAAAGAGGAGGAGGUGGCGAUGGCAAUGGGCAAAAUACUUAUACCUCUUAGAUAUGGUCCUGGUCAGCAACACACAGGAAGGAUGUUGUUAUUGUGUGGGAGUGGGUGAGGCCUCAUGAAAAAAACUCAGUGGUAUGAGGAAAUGUUCAGCAAGCUGGUCUUGUUCUUACUAGGAAAGAGGGGCUUACCAAGAUGACUUGGUAAGCUUCCAAAUUUUCGCUGAGAGCUAAAGGUGUUGUCUUUGAGAUACUUCAAAAGCCUGUACACAGCAGCUGCCUGGCCCAGUUGGUGGAGCAGGACCUGAGAGGUCAUUCUUGCUCCAACCCCUUUCUUUUGCCAUGCACUUGCCCACUAUAAAUCUGACCAGACGUGAUUCACUUUAAGCAAAGUCUCUGCAGAACCAGACUUAGGAGACCUUAGCAAGUUCCCUUUCUUGAAAGGUUCUGCUUCAGUUUGCCUGCAUUGUAUUUUGUUUCCUUUCUGGUGUCCUUAGUCCUUCCCAAAGACUCUAUAAUACAAGGACUACCACAUGAAUUACUAUGCUCUUAAUCAGUCUAUGGUGGGGCAGAUUCCAGGUUUUAUAAAUCCUGUGGUUCACUUGGCACCAGAAUUACUUGGAUGUUUUAUAAAAACUGUAGAUUCUAGGGUCCUGGCUCAAACCUGGGAAAAUCCACAUUUUUUAUAUAAGUCCCUAAUUUGUGCAUUUUGAACAAUAUCUGAGGACCUACACGAAGCCAGGUCAACCUCCGUUAUUUUAGUCAUGAAUAUGUAUCAAAUAACCAGAUCACUUACUGAAAGCAGUUGUUUUAUUUUAAAGCAUGGCACUGUAAAUAUUUUUGGCUGAUUGGAUGAACCAAACCUAGCAAGACUGUGCUUCUAUUAAAUAACAGGGAAAACUAGAAGCGAGAGGACAUUUUUUACUAGGAGGAAGGAAGACCAGAAAGGAGGAAGGAAAGAAGUCAACUCAAAGAAUGGGGUGAUUUCUGGGAGACUAGGAUAAGUGGAAUACACAAAUGGGGACUGAUAAGAACAUGUGCCGGCUCUUGGCAAAUGACAAGAGGAGCAUAAAAGAGAGGAAAUGCAAUGAGGAUGUGGUUAGAGUGAUGGCGCUUCCACUCAGUGAGUCUCAAUCACCUGGAGAGCUUCUCAGACUGCCGAUGGUUGCUCACCCCUCCCAACCAGAGCUCUAUGUGGGGCUCAGGGAUUUACAUGUUUGGUGCUGAUUUAUUCAUUUUAUGCAUUUGAAAGGCAGAGCGAUACA